rnacentral:RNase_P_RNA from 1 species
AGAACAGGUCGGGCGGUCGCUGCUGGCGUUCUCGGGUUUGAUUUCAGAUUUGAGAUUCAGAAGCCAGGAGAGGAAAGUCCGAACACUAAAGGGCAGCGGGCCCGCUAACGGCGGGGCGUUCCAACACAUUCUCAGAUUUGAGAUUUCAACUCUGAGAUUUUGGAGCGACGACAAGUGCAACAGAGAAGAGACCAGCCUGUUUGCGAGCACCGGUUGGACAUCGCUUCGGCGGUGUGGACGCCGAAAAGCUGCGGCAGGUGAUGGGUGAAACGGUGCGGCCCGCAAGGGCUUAAUGUAAGAGCGCACCGGCGCGCAUGGUGACAUGCGUGGCCAGGCAAACUCCUCGCAGUGCAAGACCAAAUAGGGAGGCGUCAAAAAGGGCUGCCCGCCCAAAGCAGUAAAGCUGCUACGACCUCCGGGUAGGUCGCUCGAUCCAACUGGCAACAGUUGGACUAGAUGAAUGAUCGCCACUCCGAUCUCGGUUUUGUGAUUUCCAGUUUGAGAUCUCAUAUCUGAGAUCGGAGCACAGAAUUCGGCUUACAGACCUGUUCUUAUU